UCGCUUGUAGCUCAUUUGGGAGAGUAUUUGUUUCACAUACAAAGGGUAGUGGGUUCGAUCCCCAUCUAGUGGUAA